UCUUCUUUGGGUACCGUCAUCAUCGUCCCCAACGAAAGGGCUUUACAAUCCGAAGACCUUCUUCACCCACGCGGAAUUGCUGGAUCAGGCUUGCGCCCAUUGUCCAAUAUUCCCCACUGCUGCCUCCCGUAG
rnacentral:rRNA from 1 species